rnacentral:lncRNA from 1 species
AGGAGAAAGAGUUCUGGGUGAUAACCAGGAAACAAGAGCUACUCUGAUCUGGUCUAAAGUAGCAGCCCCAGCUCUGCCUUCAACAUGACGCCCUCCUCCACUCCACCUAAAAUGUGCUUCACUAUUUGCCUACAGAUUUUUAAGCGUGGAAGAACACCAAGAAUUCAUCUGUUCUGGUGCUUUCCCACUAAGAUAAUGCGAUACUGCUUAUUUUGCAUCCUUGCAAUAAAACCUGAAUUUUCAUUUUUAAGAAACCUUGAAGCAUAUAAAUUACCGAGUUCCAUUGAUUUCUAGCUGUGUGAAACUAAAUGGCACCCUUCUUAAUUUAAACAUAAGAAGAGUAUCCUGACUAUCAUUUUCACUGUGAAGAACACUUUUGAUGACAUUGACACAAAAUUCAGGACCUUCACGUCUUUCUCCAUCAAACCACAUGCUUGUGGCUUCCUUUGAAUUCUGUUUUUGAUCUAUGGUUUCAUAAAGGUAAGGCAUUUCAGAGAUGAGGGAAUAAUAGCAUGCCUACCUACCUCCCGUGUUAAGUAUAUACUAUAUUGUGUACAGGAUAAUUUUCGCUGAGUAACUGAUAGUUGGUAAAAAUAAAGAGGUCAUAGUCGGGCGCGCCGGCUCAUGCCUGUAAACCCAACACUUUGGGAGGCGAGGUGGGCGGAUCACGAGGUUAGCAGAUCGAGACCAUCCUGGCUAACACAGUGAAACCCCGUCUCUACUAAAAAUACAAAAAAUUAGCCAGGCGUGGUGGCGGGCGCCUGUAGUCCCAGCUACUCGGGAGGCUGAGGCAGGAGAAGGGCGUGAACUCGGGAGGCGGAGCUUGCAGUGAGUGGAGAUCGCACCACCACACUCCAGCCUGGGAGACACAGCGAGACUCCGUCUCAAAAAAUAAAUAAAUAAAUAAAGAGGUCACUUGAUGGAGGGAAUGUUGGGACCAUGGGGGUACAGUCUAGUCCUCUUAGCAUGAUCUCAGGGAAUGCUGAGACAGUAGGGGUGACUCUAGUCUUACUGGCAAAAUCAAAAUACACAUACAAAGCCUACAGUAUAAAGUCCAACAUCUGUGUUCUAGUCUUCAGCCAAUAUAGAUCAUUUUCUCCAUUGGAAAAUGGAAAUAAUAACGUCUGUAAAGGGCUGUAGUAGGUACAAUGAGGUCGUAAAUGUGAA